UUAAUAAAACCCCCAACUUUAUAACCUACUAUGGGCAAUGGAAGAAUAAGUGAUUUUUUUUCUUUAUUCUUUGUACUUUUCCGUAUUUUUCGAAAUGCCUACAGAGAACUCAUAUUACUUUUACAAUAGAGGAGAAGAGAUGAAAGGGGCCACAACUGUUUCUGAGUGGCUCCUACACCAGAAGCUAGAGCUGGCCUGAGAAAGAAGGAGUGUUUUUCCCAACUGCUGUCCUCAACCAAUCAAGUCAAGUUGGAGCUCUGGAUGUUAUGGAUCUUUCUUGUCUUUGCACACUGUCUUUUAGAAAAGGCCAUCUACCAAUUCUAGUGCUCUGGGACUGUGGUAACUGUGGCUGAAGGAUCCUAAUAAGGCAAAAGAAGAUGUGAGAUGCUCACUACUGCUGUUCAAGAAGAGAGGAGAUACUACUAAUGUCAAUAUUUUCAGUGUCAUAUGAAAAGAAAACUACUGAUGGCUGCAGUUACCUAUAAAGAGUCCAUUGAUGCCAAUGGCUCUGCUUCACUGCGGCCUUCAAAAACCAUGAUUACACAGCACAAAUGUGGUAAGACCCGAUGCUUGGUUUGCAGUGAGAAUUGAACACAAAGGCACUAGAGUCAUUUGACUCGAAUCUCCACAAUAUACCAGACUUGGAGCAAAUAACUCUACU